AGAAAAACAUAGAAAUAUACUUUUUAAAAUUAAAAAAGAAAACAGAAAACAAAAUUGUCAAUUAUUUUUUGUUUUUAAAUUUUGGUUGUUACUUUAAAAUAGUGGGUAAAAAGUAGAUAACAAUAAAAACCUUCACAUGUAGAAGUAUUGUUUAUAGUCUUGAUUUUAAAAAAAAUUAAAACCAAAAACAUAAUAAUUAUGAAAUAAAGUCUAAAUAGUUACAAAAUCGAGCUUAAGAUUUUAAAAAUAUUUAUAUAUAAAUGUGUAUGUAAAUAUAAAAGUAAAAUUAAGCCUUUGUAAUGUAUUAAAAUAUAUAUAUAUAAAAAGUUAAUUUACAUUGGUGUAACAAUCCGUGUAGAAAAUAAAAGCUCACAAACUCAUCAUUUAUUUUAUAAAUUUUAGAUUUGUUCUUAAAUAUUGUUGACAAUUUCAAGUUCUUUUCCUUCUUCUUCUUUGCCACUUUUUUAUCUUUUCUUUGAGAUUUUUUUUAAACCAUUUAUUUUUUAGUUUAAAUCUUCUAUUUUAUCUUCAACAUUUUUUGAAGUUAUUUUACAAUUGUUUCAAUAUUAUUCUUCAUAUUCGAGAAUAUUAAAAUCGUUUAAAUACUGUUUUAAAUAAUCAACAUGAUCGUUACUAUGGUUAACGCGAUCAUUUAAAUUUGGAUAUUUUUUUCAUCAUUUAAAGAGAGCUACACGAUCGUGUAUCAUGAUUUAAACGAUCGUUUACUAUAAUUAACACAAUCAUUUAUCAUGGUCAACACGUUCGUUUAUCAUGGUCAACAUAAUUGUUAGAUUUGAAGUUUUUAACUAUCGUUUACAUUAGAUUUGCAAGAUCACUUAGAUUUGAAGUUUUUAAUGAUCAUUUAGAUUAGAUUACAGGAUCACAUUGUUUACUAUAGUCAACACAAUCGUUUUUCAUGAUCAACAUAAUUGUUUACCAUGGUUAAUACGAUAGUUUAAAUUUAAAGUUUUUUCUCAUCGUUAAAAAAGAUUGUAUAUCAUUCGUUUAGACUAUAGUACUCGAUCGUUUAGAAAAAAAUUACUUGGAUGCAGUUGAUUAAUCACGUAUUGGUUAGGAUAUUUUUUAUAUUUUUCAUUGUAGAUUUAUAGACUUAUUCUAUUUUCAAAAUUGUUGUAAAUAUUUAAUCGUUCGUUAUACUUUUUAAAAAACCUCUGAAAGAAAGUUAAGAGCAAUAAAACUUGAUUAAUUUAAAAGGGAGAAACAAUUGGUCAAGUAAAAGAUUCAAACCUCGGAAGCAAGUCAUUUGGACCAUCACCUCGACAAACGAAACCAAGCGCGAAAGUUUAUAAUUGCGACUUCUUUGUAGUCAUUCCCUCCAUUCUGUUGACUGAGAACUAAGCCGUAAGGAAAUGUCCGUCGCACGCCGCUAGUCGCAUUUUUACUUCAUCCGAAGCUGAGCGCCUUUGCACUGCUUGUUCCUUCAUGCAUCGCACACCCAACCGCUCUAGUCUCCUUCAUCACCAUUCGUUCACCGGUUCUGCCAAAACUUCUAGCCACUGUCAGUCUCCAGAAUUUAGUGACUUUGUGAUUGUUGGGGUUUUGUUGUACUUUUUCUUAAUUACCUCUUGAAGUUAAAAUAAUAUUAAUUUUUAGAUCUUUUGGAAGAGACCAAAGAGGAUAGAAGACGAAAAGGGAGAAUACAAGACUUUGAAGGUUUUGAUGAGGACGAAACUUGAAGCUCCAAUCUUUUCUGCAAUUGAUCGAAGACUUUGAAGAUUUGGUGGAAUCUAGGAAAGUGGAAGAUAGUGAAGUUAGAUUCUUUUCGGAUUUGAAUACCUAAACGUGCACAAUUUCAACAAGCUGGAUGUGUUAUUUAAUUACAGGGUAUUUGGAUUUUAAGUGAACAAUUGUAUUUAUGACUGUUUUUGAAUUGGCUAGGAGCAUCUGAGAUAUUUUUCCAUUUA